rnacentral:rRNA from 1 species
UACAGAGGGUGCAAGCGUUGUUCGGAAUUAUUGAGCGUAAAGGGUGCGUAGGCGGCGCGGUAAGUCGGGUGUGAAAUCUUGGAGCUUAACUCCGAAACUGCAUUCGAUACUGCCGUGCUUGAGGACUGGAGAGGAGACUGGAAUUUACGGUGUAGCGGUGAAAUGCGCAGAUAUCAGGAAGAACACCCGUGGCGAAGGCGGCUCUCUGGAACGCAACUGACGCUGAGACGCGAAAGCGUGGGGAGCAAACAGG